UCUUUCAGCUUUUGAGAUGUAUCGUUUAUUACUCACCGUUGCCUUCUUCUCUUCCUGACCAGUUCCAUCAUCUACGCUUACUUGCAAUGUUUUAACGCCAUAUUUUCUUCCAGAUGUGGUAGCUUCAAUCCCAAGAGCCCUAUCAAAGAGAUCCUCGAGUUGUGGAGUGACGGAUGCAGCACCAUUUCCAGUAGGAUCGGACUUGUUUGCAGAAACUAUGUCAUAGGGAAUACCAUCGUCAUUGGUGGAAAGUUCAGGUAAGUCGCCAAGUUUAGAAUCGGCUUUGCUUUCUAGUUCUGACCCUUUUGUGCACGUGGCUUCUUCAUCCGACUCUGAAUCAGAAAUUUCCUCAACAGGACCACUUUCGGUCAGAUCAUUUGUCACAUCCUCCUCACCUCGUACUCUCCUUUCAUUCAAAUGAGAACCCAAAGAGCUCUCAUCUAAGCGAAACAACAAACCAAAUCCCAUGAUUAGGGGACUAGGGGGGAGGAAGUUCUUUUUCCCACGGAUCAUGAAACUUCCAACGGUGAGAUAUUCUCCAGUAGGUGCAGUUUUACUCACCUGGUGAGGGUACACCCACCAAGCACUAGUGACGAUUUUCGAAUCCCAUGCUUUGCUGUGGCAGACCUACAAUCAACCAAACUCUACUUACAGAUCUUCCUAUCUUCGGCUUGCUCUAUUCCAAAUAAUAAACAGAACAUAAGGGAGAACAGUUAAAGGACUUUCGAAGAACAGCU
rnacentral:lncRNA from 1 species